CCCUCGUAAGGUCAGUUGGUAGGGCGCUCCACUGAAAAGGGAGAGGUCCCGGGUUCGAUACCCGGACCCGGCA
rnacentral:tRNA from 1 species